CUUAGCAUAAGUGUCAGCAUCCAGUGAACAGAAUUCUCUAGUACACCUCAGGCCUUUUGACAUCGUCCUCGUCAUCCUCGUCCGUAGACGGGUUAUUUUAUUUGUGCGCGCGGAGUAUUAAAGGAUGGACAGCUAUCGUUGAAAUGGGGUACAAACCACCAUUACAUACGAGGGUAUUUUCCUGUUUCUUUUCUUUACUUUUCUAUAUUAUUCGGCCUAUACACUAUUUAAAUAUUUAAACACAACACAAAUGUGCCAGAACACAUUGGAAACUCGACCAGUUUUUCCGCAAGAGAGCCAGUAGCACUCGACAAGCCCAAACACACCCUGUAGUGUGCUAACAAACUAAUGGGCUCAGAAACCCAAAAUUGUUUUACACAGUUUACUUACUACUCCCCAUUGUUUCCAGACCCUCCCCCUCUUUUAUCCAGUUGCUCCUCCAUCAUUUACUGCUCAUAGGCGAACGCUCCUCUGCUCUGCAUAUUAAUAAAUAUGCAUAAUGCUUAAUUCGACUCGGCUUCCCGUGGCUGAAAUAACAAUCUGUACUUCGCACAGAUCGUCAAUUAAUGGCAGGGAAGUGCUGUCCUUUUGGACAACACUUCGCCACGUGAAGUGUAUUUUUACAGGUCAUUCAGGUCGCAGUGCGACCUAAUGACCUGACCUAGAGACUCGAUGGGUAAGUCAUUUCAGUUGAGUUACCAUCAGUUGUUCACCAGUUCAACUAGUACUCAACAUCAACGAGCUGACU